rnacentral:rRNA from 1 species
GGGUGUGAUCAUACAAGCAGUAAAGCAUCGGAUUCUAUCAAAAUUUCCCAGUUAAACACUUAAGCGUGCUUGAGCGAGAGUAGUAUUGGGAUGGGUGACUUCCUGAGAGUAGUAUUGGGAUGGUACAAU